rnacentral:rRNA from 1 species
CCAGACUUUGAUCCUGGCUCGGGACGAACGCUGGCGGCGUGCCUAAUACAUGCAAGUCGAACGAAGCUUUCUUUCACCGAAUGCUUGCAUUCACCGAAAGAAGCUUAGUGGCGAACGGGUGAGUAACACGUAGGCAACCUGCCCAAAAGAGGGGGAUAACACUUGGAAACAGGUGCUAAUACCGCAUAACCAUGAACACCGCAUGAUGUUCAUGUAAAAGACGGCUUUUGCUGUCACUUUUGGAUGGGCCUGCGGCGUAUUAACUUGUUGGUGGGGUAACGGCCUACCAAGGUGAUGAUACGUAGCCGAACUGAGAGGUUGAUCGGCCACAUUGGGACUGAGACACGGCCCAAACUCCUACGGGAGGCAGCAGUAGGGAAUCUUCCACAAUGGACGAAAGUCUGAUGGAGCAACGCCGCGUGAAUGAAGAAGGCCUUCGGGUCGUAAAAUUCUGUUGUCAGAGAAGAACGUGCGUGAGAGUAACUGUUCACGUAUUGACGGUAUCUGACCAGAAAGCCACGGCUAACUACGUGCCAGCAGCCGCGGUAAUACGUAGGUGGCGAGCGUUGUCCGGAUUUAUUGGGCGUAAAGGGAACGCAGGCGGUCCUUUAAGUCUGAUGUGAAAGCCUUCGGCUUAACCGAAGUAGUGCAUUGGAAACUGGAAGACUUGAGUGCAGAAGAGGAGAGUGGAACUCCAUGUGUAGCGGUGAAAUGCGUAGAUAUAUGGAAGAACACCAGUGGCGAAAGCGGCUCUCUGGUCUGUAACUGACGCUGAGGUUCGAAGCGUGGGUAGCAAACAGGAUUAGAUACCCUGGUAGUCCACGCCGUAAACGAUGAGUGCUAAGUGUUGGAGGGUUUCCGCCCUUCAGUGCUGCAGCUAACGCAUUAAGCACUCCGCCUGGGGAGUACGGUCGCAAGACUGAAACUCAAAUGAAUUGACGG